rnacentral:rRNA from 1 species
UACAGAGGUCUCAAGCGUUGUUCGGAUUCAUUGGGCGUAAAGGGUGCGUAGGCGGCGCGGUAAGUCGGGUGUGAAAUCUUGGAGCUUAACUCCGAAACUGCAUUCGAUACUGCCGUGCUUGAGGACGGGAGAGGAGACUGGAAUUUACGGUGUAGCGGUGAAAUGCGUAGAUAUCGUAAGGAAGACCAGUGGCGAAGGCGGGUCUCUGGACAGUACCUGACGCUGAGGCACGAAGGCCAGGGGAGCAAACGGG